AAAGUACUCCCUCCGUUCGGAAUUACUUGUCGCGAAAAUGGAUGUAUCUAAAAUUAAAAUACGUCUAGAUACAUCCAUUUCUGCGACAAGUAAUUCCGAACGGAGGGAGUAGGAC
rnacentral:pre_miRNA from 1 species